rnacentral:rRNA from 1 species
AACGAACGCUGGCGGCAUGCCUAACACAUGCAAGUCGAACGAGACCUUCGGGUCUAGUGGCGCACGGGUGCGUAACGCGUGGGAACCUGCCCUUAGGUUCGGAAUAACUCCCCGAAAGGGGUGCUAAUACCGGAUAAUGUCUUCGGCCCAAAGAUUUAUCGCCUUUGGUUGGGCCCGCGUUGGAUUAGCUAGUUGGUAGGGUAAAAGCCUACCAAGGCGACCAUCCAUAGCUGGUCUGAGAGGAUGAUCAGCCACACUGGGACUGAGACACGGCCCAGACUCCUACGGGAGGCAGCAGUGGGGAAUAUUGGACAAUGGGCGAAAGCAUGAUCCAGCAAUGCCGCGUGAGUGAUGAAGGCCUUAGGGUUGUAAAGCUCUUUUACCCGGGAUGAUAAUGACAGUACCGGGAGAAUAAGCUCCGGCUAACUCCGUG